rnacentral:ncRNA from 1 species
AUUCACCAUUUCGGGAGCCCGGGAAAACCGGGCUGAGAGGGGCCUUUUUAACUCAGGCCCGACCGUUUAACCUGAUCCGGACAAUGCCGGCGGAGGAAAACCCAUGACUAAAAGG